rnacentral:rRNA from 1 species
GACGAACCGAGCGAACGUUAUUCGGAAUCACUGGGCUUAAAGGGCGCGUAGGCGGACCAUCAAGUCAGGGGUGAAAUCCCACGGCUCAACCGUGGAAGAGCCUUUGAUACUGGCGGUCUCGAGCGAGGUAGGGGCGUGCGGAACUUCCGGUGGAGCGGUGAAAUGCGUAGAUAUCGGAAGGAACACCGGUGGCGAAAGCGGCACGCUGGACCUCUUCUGACGCUGAGGCGCGAAAGCUAGGGGAGCAAACGGG